UACCAGCACCCCGAGUGGUCGGGACGAUUAUUGGGCCUAAAGCAUCCGUAGCCGGUCAUGCAAGUCCUCCGUUAAAUCCACCUGCUUAACAGAUGGGCUGCGGAGGAUACUACAAGGCUAGGAGGCGGAAGAGGCAAGCGGUACUCAGUGGGUAGGGGUAAAAUCCUCUGAUCCAUUGAAGAUCACCAGUGGCGAAGGCGGCUUGCCAAUACGCGCUCGACGGUGAGGGAUGAAAGCUGGGGGAGCAAACCGG
rnacentral:rRNA from 1 species